GAUCAGACCAGCCGUUUCCCUCCCUAUGUGUUUGCACAGGACAGUGAAACUCAUUCGCUGGUGCCCUGGUGCCCACAGUUCUAUCUCAGGUGGUGAAUCAGGCGCGCAGAUCAUGAAUCACUGUUGCCUGUGUCACCAACCAGUUUCUACUCUCAGUGGCUGAAGGAUCAAGAUCAUCUGUCAACUCAAUGUGACAUCAACUUCUUAUGCACCUGCUGCCUUCCUCUUCCUGCCAUGAUAGACU